GUUUCCGUAGUGUAGUGGUCAUCACAUCCGCCUAACACGCGGAAGGUCCUGGGUUCAAGCCCCAGCGGAAACA